UAGACCGGCGGUAUCCUACACAUGCAGUCGUACGAGAGUUUUACUCUAGUGGCGGACGGGUGAGUAACACGUGAGAAUUACCUUUAGGAGGGGGAUAACAAUUGGAAACGAAUGCUAAUACCCCAUAUGCUUUUGAGUGAAAUGGAUUUUAUCCGCCUAAAGAAAAGCUCGCGGCUGAUUAGCUUGUUGGUAAGGUAAGAGCUUACCAAGGCGACGAUCAGUAUCUGGUUUGAGAGGACGAUCAGACACACUGGAACUGAGACACGGUCCAGACUCCUACGGGAGGCAGCAGUGGGGAAUUUUCCGCAAUGGGCGAAAGCCUGACGGAGCAAUACCGCGUGAGGGAAGAAUGCCUAUGGGUUGUAAACCUCUUUUUUC
rnacentral:rRNA from 1 species